rnacentral:rRNA from 1 species
GAGUUUGAUCAUGGCUCAGGACGAACGCUGGCGGCGUGCCUAAUACAUGCAAGUCGAGCGGAUCUUCAUUAGCUUGCUUUUGAAGAUCAGCGGCGGACGGGUGAGUAACACGUGGGCAACCUGCCUGUAAGACUGGGAUAACUUCGGGAAACCGGAGCUAAUACCGGAUAAUCCUUUUCCUCUCAUGAGGAAAAGCUGAAAGACGGUUUCGGCUGUCACUUACAGAUGGGCCCGCGGCGCAUUAGCUAGUUGGUGAGGUAACGGCUCACCAAGGCGACGAUGCGCAGCCGACCUGAGAGGGUGAUCGGCCACACUGGGACUGAGACACGGCCCAGACUCCUACGGGAGGCAGCAGUAGGGAAUCUUCCGCAAUGGACGAAAGUCUGACGGAGCAACGCCGCGUGAGCGAUGAAGGCCUGGUCGUAAG